GUUUGUGAAAGAUGAUCACAGAUUUACACAUCAGGAAUGUCUCUUGGAGCCAUUUCUGCAGGUUCCAAGACCAUCUGUUCAAAUAACUGCAUGCAUGUACAAGUUGUUGGUGCAGCCACUUUUCUAAGGUCUGAAAUAAGACCCAAGCUGUCACCCUCAGCUGAAAAGAAAUUGGUUUAGAUGGUCAAGAACCACCAAGGCACAGACCCGCCAUAAACUGCGAUCUCUUGG